rnacentral:rRNA from 1 species
UACGGAGGAUCCGAGCGUUAUCCGGAUUUAUUGGGUUUAAAGGGAGCGUAGGUGGAUUGUUAAGUCAGUUGUGAAAGUUUGCGGCUCAACCGUAAAAUUGCAGUUGAAACUGGCAGUCUUGAGUACAGUAGAGGUGGGCGGAAUUCGUGGUGUAGCGGUGAAAUGCAUAGAUAUCACGCAGAACUCCGAUCGCGAAGGCAGCCUACCGGCGCGCGACCGACGCUCAUGCACGAAAGCGUGGGUAUCGAACAGG